rnacentral:lncRNA from 1 species
CCAUCCACCCGCCCCAGGGAGAGUCCCACCUGCUGCUCUGCGUUAGUGGGGGAGGCUCUGUGACCUCCGCCUCCGUCCACAGGGGAAACCAGAUACGUCCAUAGUGGGGCCUCUUGACAUGAGCCCUGAAGCUUCCCUCCCUGCUGUCUCUUGGAACUCAGAUUGGACACUUCCCAGCCUGACUUUCAAAGCAGGUGGAGAAAUGAGGGGAAGCCGCAGGCAAAUAGUUCCUGCAGAUUUACCUUGCAUACAAACCAAGUACUUAGAAUCCCUGGGGACCCGCCCUAGCUGAGAGGGUGGGUGGGUUGUAAGGGGCUGUCUGGUGAGUCUAUCUGGGCAUUGGAGAACCUUUGCGCUCUCUUCCCCGUUCCUGGCCGUGUUGAGUCAAUGCCGAGCAACCCUUCGCUGCAGGCGUGGGAAGGAGGCAGGAAUUAACCCACUGCUAAGUUAAUAGCCAAUGUUUUUUCAUGAGUCAUAAUUGAUUCGCCUUCAGUUUAUGAACAACAUUUCUCUUUGCCUCUUCAAACAGGCCUUUGUGCGUAAUUACUGUGAAUUCAGGUGUCUGUAGAGUUCGAAGCCGCCCCUCUGAGUGGAUCAUUGUAUUUUCUGUGUUCAGAGAGAACAUUGCUGAGGAAGGGUUCCAGGAGACACAUUGUCUUUAGCAACCCCAAGUGCAGCUGGGGGCCUGCAGAGGGUUGGAGACUGUGGGGGCAGCUACUGGCCUCAUGGUGCAUGCUCUUGGGAGCCAGCAGUAGGUGUCACCCCUGCAGAGAUGGACUGUUUAAAGAGGCCUGGUGCUCCCUCCCCUGUAAGCUCCCAAAAGGAUGGUGGGCGGAGAUAGAAAGAAGGCGCCCAGCCCCCUCUAAGUUGAGGUGGAGGGAGACAGCCUUCCCCAUUCUAAUCCUGGGAGGGUACAGUGUCUCAUGCUUCUAGCCCAUCCAAGAAUCAGGCCUGUCCAGGGAACCCAUAUUUUCUUUAAAAAGAGAAAAUAAUACUCAUUUCACAUGUACCAGAUGAGUCACCUUAGGUUUCUAUGGCACCUUCUCUUUGUGAAUUAAAAAUAGGAUUUGAUUUGUAUGUAACAGCUGGUUUCCUUUAACUUUUGAGGGGUAAGCGUUGAUUGUGUAUUGUGAAGUAAAUUGUAAUAAUUAUUUUACCAGCUACAGCGGUUUUUCUUUCAAUUCUUCUAACCAUAUUAAAUGAGAUCUUAAAAAUUGUAAAAAAAUACAAUUUUUUGUAGCGUAUAAAUACUGGAUAAUCCAGGUUGCCAAAUGCAUAACCCC